rnacentral:lncRNA from 1 species
UGACUUUCUUCUACAAUAAACUUCAUGAAAUGAUCACUUUCUAAAGUUGUAAGAAUUCUUCAGAGCAUCAAUCACAAAACUUACCUCCUCUGUUUUCUACAGGAGUAUUUUUGGACCGACCAACCUCGAAGUCCAGAGGAAUAAAUCCUGAUCUGAACUGUGGGACCAGGGAUCUUUGGCUGUUAUCUAAACAAGGUCUCACACAUGAUUCAGGGUCAAAGUUCACUUUUAUUUAUUACUUUAUAUGUCUAGUUUUUUGUUUGCACAGAUUUUUUUUUUUCAAAUAUUUUCCUUCAAAUUCCGGUAUGAGCUUCUCUUCCAUGGAAAUAACAUUUCAGCAGCAGUAAUGUCUGUAAAUGUUGGACAUGUUUACCCCCCUCCAAACGUCAUAGACCCCUUUGUCUUUGGAGAGUGAUAUAUAUAUUCCACAUGAACUCUUUCUUGUUUAUUCUGAGGGGUUACGGGUCAUUCACCACUAAUGUACACUAAUAGUCCGCUCAUCUAUGAGGCGAUGAUUAAACUGAGUGUAUAUCUACUGACAAUGAUUUUCACUCAUAUGUACCAGACAAAAUUUGCACUAUUAACUCAGAAGAUAGCAGAUAUUAAAAAGUAAGAUCUCUGGAUGCUAUUAAUAACAAAAUGACAUGUUGCACAGACGUGUUUUUUUAAAUGCUCAAAGCUUUUAUUGUUGCCCAGAUCAGAAAAAAAAAAAUUAAAAUGUUUUAACCUGAUACCAAAAUAAAGCAGCGUUCCUUAUGCAGCGUUAAAGUGAUAGAAAAGCGGGAAAAAAAGAGAUUAACAGCGCUCAGGUUCAACGUGAGACCAGAUGAGUUUUCAAACACAUGAACUGGAGUUUCUGUGCUUCACAGCCUCUUCUCCUCAGAGUCUCAGGACUCUUGAUCCUUCAUACAGACAGAUGGGUACGGCUCAUCACACUGAAAAUCAUCCCAGCACCUUCGACCUAACCAGAAACACAGGAGAAGAGACCAUCGUAAGGCACUGUGGACUUUCAGUAUUAACUACAAAUAAGAAAACAUUUAUUAAAAAAAAAACUAUUUUAAUACACUUUUGCACUUUAAAAAGACAAAGAUAUAUUUAUUAUUUACCGGCGUUGUAGUACAAACAGUUCUGACCGACCCCUGGUCCGUUGUUUGGCUCUCCAGGGCACCAGUUAUCAUAGUCAAAAGCUGUCCCAUCGGUCCAGCGCCAAGCUCCCUCCUAGAAAACAGAACAGAUCCAUGAGAAGAAGUCACUACGACAGGGUUAGCAUCUGUCAUCUAUUCAAUUCAUCAAUGCUGACGUCACCACACUGUCUAUGGAUGAAGGUUUUUCUGAUAAAGUUCCCAAACUUCAUGUCACACUGAGACUGUUUCGUACUGCGUGUCCUUAUCCUGCUCCCACUGUUGACUUAUCCUUUUCCAGACAUUACUUACCCCAUCAAAGUUUGCCAACUUCAUCAUGACUUCUACCAUUUCUUAUUUUUCUGAGCAUGAUUUCAACUGCACAGAAAAACUUUGGUUCUGUUCACAACCUUUAUGGACAGAAUUUCUAGGCACAGCCGGGGGGUGGAGGGUGUCCAGUUCGGCAGGCAGAGGAUCGCGUCGCUGCUUUUUGCGGAUGAUGUGGUUCUUCUAGCUUUGUCGAGCAGUGACCUUCAGCUCUUGCUGGGGCGGUUCGCGGCCGAGUGUGAAGUGGCUGGAAUGCGAAUCAGCAUCUCCAAGUCUGAGGCCGUGGUCCUCAGUCGGAAAAAGGUAGAUUGCCUUUUCCAGGUCGGAGGGGAGGUCCUGCCUUAAGUGGAGGAGUUAAAGUAUCUCGGGAUCUUGUUCAUGAGUGAGGGUUGGAUGGAGCGGGAGAUCGACAGGCGGAUUGGAGCGGUGUCAUCAGUGAUGCGGACGCUUAACCGAUCUGUCGUUGUGAAGAAAGAGCUGAGCCGUAAGGCGAGACUCUCGAUUUACCGGUCGAUCUACGUGCCGAUCCUCACCUAUGGUCAUGAACUUUGGGUAAUGACCGAAAGAACGAGAUCGCGGAUACAAGCGGCUGAAAUGGGUUUCCUCCUCAGGGUGUCCGGUCUCAGCCUUAGAGAUCGGGUAAGGAGCUCGGACACUCAGCAGGCACUCAGAUUAGAGCUUCUGCUCCUCCACGUUGAGAGGAGUCAGCUGAGGUGGCUCAGAUUGAACCAUAACAAAACAAAAAUAUCAUGUAUACCUCUUCACUGUCAGAACCCCCGAGCCAGGAUGAUGGAUCACUGGAUUUGGCAAAGAUCAGGUUUUUGAUGGAAUUGCGGUGAUAAAGUCCAUGCAUUGAUGCCAGGUGUCCUCCCAGAGAGAUGCAGUUCUUCUAAAGUGAAGACAGAAAUCAGAGGAGUGAACCAUCUCCUUCGUUUCCUAGAAAACAGCCACACAUUUCUUCAUUGCUCGUUUUACUGCAGGUCAUGCUAACAGUCCUAAAGUAUGUGUCUCUGGAUUAUUAUUAUUUUUUUCUAAUUUAAUAUCUCAUUCUGGUCCCUGAAUGUUAGUUUGAAACUUAAAAAUACCCUGCAGCCCAUGUAAAUCAUCUCUUACCUCAGCAUCAGCCCAAGUCAUAUAUUUCUCAACAUAGGUGAUGUAGGGUCCACCCAUCCAAGACCACUCCACUGUAAUUACAGGUUAUGGUGUAACGCAGCACAAUAGUUAGAUUGUCUAGCAAGAACAAAUUCCUUUGUUUAUAAUAUUGUUUAUAUUUGACGUACUCACCAGCAGCAGUCAGAGCCAUGAUGGCACAAGCCAGAGCAGAGACAGCCAGGAUCUUCAUGUUCAGGUCGAUGAGAUGAGACUAAAGAUUCAAACACAAACACAAGAAUCACUGAUGCUGCUGUCAGGGAACAAAUCAACUACAAUGACUAAGAGGAGAGUUGGACUCAGAGUUACUUUCUUCUUCUUCUUCUUCGGUGUUGCUUCAAUCCUCUUUUGUUUGGUACUGAGCAAGUGAAGCACCAGCUUUUAUACUAUCAUCUAAUAAAAUAAGGAACUGAUCACUGAUGACCAAGAUUGUGCACAGAAACCACAUCCUCAGACACAGUGUCCUGAGAAAACUAGAUAAGAUCGUUUAUCAGAUAUGAUCAGUCCACAACCUUGAGAGUAAGAGUUAAAGAUGUGCAGUGAUCCCAGCUGGAGGUCCUCUUUGUUGGGACAAACCUGCUGGGAUUCAUUUAUCUAACUCUAUACACUGUGUGCACAAUUAUUAGGCAACUGAGUAUUUUGAUCAUAUCCUCAUUUUUAUGCAUAUUUUUCCAACUCCAAGCUGUAUAAAGUUGAAUGCUUAUUGGAUAUAAGCAUAUCAGGUAAUGUGUAUUAGUGUAAUGAGGGAGGCUGGGGCCUAAGGAGAUCAAAACCCUAUAUCAAGGUGUGCAUAAUUAUUAGGCAGCUUCUUUUCCAAAUGGGCCAAAAAAGAGAUGUAAGUGACUCUGAAAAGUCAAAAAAUGUAAAAAGUCUUUCAGAGGGAUGCAGCACUCUUGAAAUUGCUUAGAUAUUUGGGCGUGAUCACAGAAUCAGCAAACAUUUUGAUGCAAAUAGUCAACAGGGUCGCAAGAAAUGAAGACGCAAAUUAACUGCCAAAGAUUUGAGAAGACUCAAAUGUAAAGGUACCAGGAACCCAAUAUCCUCCAGUGCUGUCAUAUUCCAGAACUGCAACCUACCUGGAGUGCCCAGAGGUACAAGGUGUUCAGUGCUCAGAGACAUGGCCAAGGUAAGGAAGGCUGAAAUCUGACCACCACUGAACAAGACACAAGUUGAAACGUCAAGACUGGGCCAAGAAAUAUCUGAAGAGAGAUUUUUCAAAGGUUUUAUGGACUGAUGGGAUGAGAGUGACUCUUGACGGACCAGAUGGAUGGACCCGUGGCUGGAUCAGUAAUGGGCACAGAGCUCCACUUCGAAUCAGACACCAGCAAGGUGGAGGCGGGGUACUGGUAUGGGCUGGUAUUAUUAAAGAUGAGCUAGCUGGACCUUUUGGGUUAAAGAUGGACUUAAAAUCAACUUCCAAAUCCAAUGCCAGUUUUGAGAAGACACUUUCUUCAAGCAGUGGUACAGGCAAAAGUCUGCAUCUUUCAAGAAAACCAUGAUUUUAAUGCAGGACAAUGCUCCAUUGCAUGCAACAAAGUACUCCACUAUGUGGCUCGCCAGUAAAGGCCUUAAAAACGAAAGAAUAAUGACAUGGCCUCCUUCUUCACCUGACCUAAACCCUGUUGAGAACUUGUGAGCCUUUCUUAAACGGGAAAUUUACAGUGAAGGAAGACAGUACACCUCUCUGAACAGUGUCUGGAACAGUGUCUGGGAGGCUUUGGUUACUGCAACACAAAAAGUUGAUCGUCAACAGAUCCAGAAACUGAAAGACUCCAUGAAUGGAAAGCUUAUGACUGUUAAUGAAAAGAAGGGUGGCUAUAUUGGUCACAGAUUUUUUUUUUUUUAAUUUCAACAAUUUUUAUUUAUAAAUUGAGUUGAGAAAGAGAAAAACAAACCUUUAUGUAUUUGUUGUAGCUGAGUUCACUAUGAAUUUACCAACCAGUGGGACAAGCUGCAGCUGUCAGGGGCCCCAACAGAGGGCGCCAACAGGACACCAAACCACAAAGAGUUCAUUACAAAAGUAUUUACACAAUUUCAAAAUAUGAGAAAUGAAAACAGGGGGUGGUAAAUGGUAUCAGCAGUGCUUUUUAGAAGGAAUGAGGAGCUCGAAGACUCCCCUUAUUUCUGUGAGGCUUUAAGAUGAAUACAUGAAAUCAGAUGUUUUUUCAGCUGCGUUAAAAACAAGGUGAACUUACUAAAGGAUUUCACAACAUGCUCAAAAAAAUUUCGGGUCAAACAGUGAAAAUGAAUUAGCAAAAUGGAAUAAUUUCUUCACUUCCCCUUUUGUCUCAGUAUCAGAUGGUCCAAUCUCUCCAAAAUAUAGAUAUGGCACAAUGAAUGAUAGAUUAUCAGAUUGAUUAAAUCUGUGAGUCAUUCCGGAAGAAACAUGAAGAAACAUCGAGCUGCACAUUUCACAAUCCUGCUCCCAGGUCAUGAAAACAGGUACGAGAGGAAAAACUGUAUUUCCAGAAGUGAUGGUCAAAGUGAUCGACUUUAAAAAAAUCCAUGUAAAAGUGUUAAAAAGUUUGAUUUAAAAGAGGCAUUGACGGCUGAACGUGGAGGUUUGUUUUCGACAAAGAGGUCCAGAGAUGACGUGUGUGAGAGCAACACUAGCUGCGUUUAUAUGGGCACAAAUAAUCGGGAUAAAGGCCCGAUCAGUAUAAAAUGCGUCAUGUAAACAUGUCGAUCGGAAAAUCUGAUCCAAUUUGACUCAUUAGGAAAGAAAUCGUAUUCCGAUCGAGAGGGGUGGUUUAUGCCGAUUGUUAUUCCAAAACACAACCGUGUAAACACUUAUUCCGAUGGUGACUCUCUGACUCGACUCGGUCUUUACUCUUUAUUUAUUGGGGUCAGUACAGGAGAUUUCAUUAUUAACACAACUGCAGGUGUCGUGUCUGCUCCUCCGAUAACAUAACAAGGCGUACAAACAGCGUAAUGAUGUCACAUAUGCAUGGGACAAUAUUCAACAGGGGAAAACUCCUGAAUUGGAUGGAGUGAGCCACUAGCGUGUUUGUUGAUUUGUUGACAGCACAGGCGUAAAUACAACUCAUCUUCUUCUGUGGUUGUUUUAGCGAAAUCAGACAACUCUGCGCAUGUCCAAAUGAUUCUAAUCUGAAUGAAACUUGGUGCACGUAAACAAACGUCAUGAUCGGAUAAUUAGAUUUAGGGCCCAUACAAAAAGUUGAUUCAGAUUUUCAGAUCCCUCAGAUUUUUAAUUAAAUCAAGAAAUUUUGGACAUGUUAACAUGGCGACUGUGACAUUUGUAAUGGAUUCUGAAUGGAGCGACUUUGAGCCUAAAUUCAAGAAUAAUCCAGAUCCAAGAAAACGGACCAAAUCAUCUGUAACACAAGUCCCACUGACCAGGCAAGUCCAGACAUGAAUCUUUUCUUCUUUUCAAAACAAAACAUGUCAGAUAGCCAAAGAAGGAUCUGAAUUAUUGUAAUGACUGAAUAUAGUUCGCAGUAUUAAAGCUUUUUGAGUUUUUUAAAAAAUAAUGACCCGAAAGUUGAAUAUUUUUGAUCAGUUUUCCGUGACUUUCCUCUACAAUAAACGUCAUGAAAUGAUCACUUUCUAAAGUUGUAAGAAUUCUUCAGAGCAUCAAUCACAAAACUUACCUCCUCUGUUUUCUACAGGAGUAUUUUUGGACCGACCAACCUCGAAGUCCAGAGGAAUAAAUCCUGAUCUGAGCUGUGGGACCAGGGAUCUUUGGCUGUUAUCUAAACAAGGUCUCACACAUGAUUCAGGGUCAAAGUUCACUUUUAUUUGCACAUAUGUCUGGUUUUUUGUUUGCACAG